UACGGAGGGUGCAAGCGUUGUCCGGAAUUAUUGGGCGUAAAGAGCUCGUAGGCGGUUUGUCGCGUCGUCCGUGAAAACUCACAGCUUAACUGUGAGCUUGCGGUCGAUACGGGCAGGCUAGAGUUCGGUAGGGGAGACUGGAAUUCCUGGUGUAGCGGUGGAAUGCGCAGAUAUCAGGAGGAACACCGGUGGCGAAGGCGGGUCUCUGGGCAGUAACUGACGCUGAGGAGCGAAAGCGUGGGGAGCGAACAGG
rnacentral:rRNA from 1 species